rnacentral:lncRNA from 1 species
CAUCAUGGACAUAAUGUUGCUUAUUGCAACACAGAAACAAAUAAAAAUAGAUGUCAGGAUCUUGUGGAUAAAUAGAAACAUCAAACCAUUUGUAGGAUAAAAAUAUUCUUCAUGUCUCUUGUUAAGAUUGGCCUUCUAUGGCCUUGCUGUGACCCAUGGGCCCUCAUGUACUCUAAUGGCAUGCCCAGACCAAUCACCAGAGCUAUCAUCCAAGGGAUCAACCUUCGUGAAGAAGGGAUCCAUCAUUUCUACCAUCAUUGUUCCAGCCCACAGCCAUUAUCCAGGGAAACAACCUUUGUGGAGACAUGAAUUGUCAAAUGCUUCAGCAGGUGCUAUAGUCCUGGUUUCUUUAGCAGUCAUGGCUGAUCUUCGAAGACUGGAUGAGGAAACUGAGGUUCAGAAGAUUGAUCAUCAUCACACAGCCGAAGAGUGACCCUUUGGGAGAAGAGGCUUCAUCUCUUACAGUUUUUUGGAAAAGA